UCACAGAACUAUAGCAAAAUGAUCUUUAAAAAUAGGAGUUCUCAGCACAGAGCAGAUCAACGUCCUCCUCCUCCACCUUCUCAUGGUUCCCGCGGAUCAAGAAAGCCAGAGAAAGGAGACACGCAAGGAGCAAUCAAUCUCUGCUCCGUGCUGCUUCCUUCGUCCACCGGCAACCCAUGCACGGUCCGGCACGGCAGCGUCCGCCUCCUCCUCGAUCUCGCCGAUAUGAUGAGACCACCACCACCACGACGGCGACCAUGCACGCACGUGGAAGAACCAGGUGAUCCCGGGAGGCGGCAGCAACAACGAGUUCGGCAGCGAUACUGCCGGUGUGACGCCAUCAUGGCCUCCGUGGAACAGAGCGGACAACCCAACCUGCACAACCCGCCGCUGCGGCUCGAGCGCAUGGGUUGUGGAUGGCUCGACGUGAUCUUUGAGUGGGAGGGGGUGGUCGGGGAGGAUGACACCCGGCUUGAGAGGCAUGCCUGCUGACCCUCGCGGAGGAGGAGGCCAAGUCGUUGUCGGCGGCGUUCGGCCGAUGAAGGCCGACCACGACCUCUUCGAGGUGCUCUGCUGGUCUCGGAGAACCGGCUCCUGGCUUUGCGCGAGGAGACCCACGCAGCGACACGCCCAAGGUUGGUUUUCUACGUGGUGGUCUACCCGGUCAACGAUGCUCUCAAGGUUCUUUUUCUCUUCUUUUAGUACUCAUUGUUUGGACGGUGUUGCAAAUAGAAUGGCUGAAAACCUGAAUUGUAGUAUACUGGGAUACUUACAUUUGUAUAUGGAAAGUGUUGCAGCUGUUGGCCUUGGUGGCGAUUUUGGUGGUCGUGCUGUUCUGUGUGGGAGUGUCCUGAUUUUGGUGUUUGUGUUGGUCGGGGGUGUCACAACCUGCUCGAGCAUAUCUUCAGUGAUCGUCACAGUUAUCUUCACUGGUUUGUUGAUUGGUUCAGCGGUUUUCUAUUAGUUGAGUUGUGGUGGCGUGAUCUAUAGGAAAACAUACUCAUCAUCAUAUGCAGCUGUCCUUCUACCAGGGAUGAAUUUUCUGAGUCAUGCUUAAUAUGCUGUCUAAUAUUUACUCUCUUUGUACCAUCUUCAAGAAAGUCAUAUGGGCCAGAUAAAAAAAUCCUAUUCACCUAGAUUUAAAUUUGAUUGAAGUUAUUUCUCACCAAAGGCAUAAGGGUUUUCUACCUAGCCUUCUCACCCUUCCUAAGUAUCCAGGUAUAAUUGUGUUCGUUGGUUGGCAACGUGCUAUCCACAAUAUGAUAAUGGUUCUAGAAGCAUUUCUUGCUCCAGGAUCUGAAUUGUGGAUGUUCAAUGAGGUGGCAGAGAAGAAGAGGGAGAAAAACUGACUGACGAUUGUAUGGAUAUUUUGGACUAACAAACAUUAAAUUGUACACAAAGAAGGGAAUGCUGUCAUCAGGCGGCACUUCUUGAGACCUUUGAUUCUGUGAGUAUAUGCUCCAUCGUAGAGAGAAGUAGAGUACUCUGAACUUUUCUGUUCAAACAAUUAUUAUUUUUAUGAAUCGUCCGAUGUGGUCCAAAAUAGCAAGUCAGCAUAGCCCUGCAUUUCUUCUACUCUAAGUUUACCUGUGCUGAAAUUCACCCAAUGCUAACUUUAAAACCACAGAUUUUGAUUUUUGCAGAUGAGUCGGUGGAGGAUUCCAUUUGAACAAUUAGAUUCAUGGUGCUUAGCUACACUUCUUCUAAUUCAUGACGUACAGGUGAGCAACAAGUCACGAGCCCCCGCAUCGCCCUCCCCCUAGGGCGACUCGGGCGGAGCCAAGAAACCUAGCCGCCGCCGCCGUGAACUCCCUCCUCCUCUCCCUCCGCCGCCGCCGGGCUAAGCCCGGGGGCCGACGGCGGUGGCGGGGGAUCUCCUCUCUCACGCGUCUUCGGGUUGGGGCGGGACCCCUAGGCGUGUGGCGGCGCGGCCGAUCUGGGUUUUGCGGCGCGGCGGAUGGCUGCGGAAGGUGGCGGGCGGCCGCGGCUAGGUGCGGUGGGCGGCCCAGCCACGGACGGCGGCGUGGGCUGUGGGCGCAGCGGCCGGCCUGUUCGGGCAUUGGCGGCCAGCUAGGCUGUGGUGUCAUGCAUACCACCUUCAGAUCGGCGGCGGCGGCGUGGAGGGCCUGGUGGUCUUGUCGGUGGCACCUCCGGUCAGAUCUGUUCUGACCGAUGCGACCGGCGGUGGUGGUCAUCUCUUCCGUCAGAGGUGGUCGGCCUGAGGCUGGGUGUUCGGAUCUCCGGAUACAUGAUCCAGUACUGGCUACAAGUCGGGAAGACAUAGUUGCCGAUGAAAACCGAGCCGACGGCGGACGAUGGCGGCGUUCUACGUCGUUACCUUGAUGAAGGCAUCGUUGUGUGACUUAUGUCGACCCACUCGUACUGCUCUGGGGGAAACUUUAGGAUCUGGUCUUUCAGAUCGGACGAUGGCGGCACUACAGUGGCGUUUUUCUCUUGGGAGCAUCGUUUGUGGAGUAGUGCUGGUGGUCAGAGACGGGAGGUGGAGCAGCUUCGUCUUGCACGGAGCUUCGGUGGAGAUGUCAAGUCAUGGUUGGUCGACAGGUGCUAAGCUUUGUUAUGCCUGGUCGGCAGGUGCUACGCACGACAGAUCUUUCAGAGACUUCAAGCUGUGUCGGUUGAUGGUGCUUGGCGGCAUGGUGCUGAGGUGUAUCGGCGGCGACCGCGACGUGCUCAGCAUUUCGCGCGUAGGGUGGUGAUGCCGUUGGGCGCCGUGGUAGCGCUGACGGCAGUUAGAUCGGGCAAGGAUGAUGCGUCAGUACAUCUCUGAAGAUGGAGUUGUGGCAGUUGGUGGCGACGGCCUCUGAGAGCGCGCCGGACCGGCGUGUGCCCCAUACCCGGCGUGUGGCUUGGUUGGGGCCUCAGGUCUUAGAUGUUAGGCUUGGCUGCGAGGUCUGUGGUAUUAGGCCCGGACUAUCAGCAUCCCUUCGUCAGCUGGAUAGGAGUAGCGACAGUUGUCGCCUAGACGGUGUGGCUUCCGACUUACUGUUGUAUUUCUUUAUAAGGUCUUUUGUAAAUAAUUAAUAAAAUGCUGCAUACAUAUCGCUCAGAUGCAGAGGCCGGGGGUGAUCCUCCUUCUUUAAAAGAACAAAAAAGUGAGCAACAAGCAGCCUGGCUUCCGCCUUGCCAACACUUGCGAGUCAACCAUUAAUCCAGAACUGAAGUCAGAGAUUAAGUAGUCUUUAGACGAUGUGUUUGUUGCGAUCGUGAAAAGGUGACUAAUUUUACAGUGUCAUCUCACUUUUUUGAAGUGCAAGUGUAUAUUAUGAUAGCAAAACUA